UAUUUUGUACAUGCCUAGAGCAUUGAUGUAGCGAAUCCCAUUAGAAAUUCGUAGUUAAGUGGACUUGGGAUAGAUUAAUACUGGGAUGGGUGACCACUCAAGAAUUCCUAGUGUUUUACUUGC
rnacentral:rRNA from 1 species